CCUCGCAAGGCCGCCGUCGUGCCCUCCGCCGGCCGCUCCGCCCGCCGGCGUGCACCCCUCGCCUCCCUCGAUCUCUGCCCCGCCGCUCAGGGUUUCGACUGGCCACGACGUCCCGGCACCUCGCGAACCCGCCGUCGCGCCCUCCGCCUGCCGCUCCCGGCUCACCAAACGGCCCGCUGGCUCCCUCUGCUCCUCUUCCGCGCGGCGCACCCCAGCUCGCAGAGGCUGUCACGGGGGCCUGCGCGGGCAGCCAGACGAUGGCCCCAGGCCCGCGCGCGGCUAGGCUGAGUCCACGGCGCGGCGGCUCCCGCGAACCGGCGGAGCCCUCCGCCUGCCGCUCUGCCCGCCGUCCUCCGCCCUUCGCCUCCCUCCUCGAGCUCCAACCCGCCGCUCAGGCGUUCAGCUGGCCGCGACGUUCCGGCACCUCGCUAGCCCACCAUCGCGCCCUCGAUUCUGAACAAACGGCCGGACAAAAGCUAGCGAUUUCCUGAAGCUUCCUGAACGCACGCCGUACUACACGAGCAGGGUAACUCGAGACUUUUUCCCUUCUGCAGCAAUAGAAAUUCUUCCUCCCGCAGCGCUCGCAGCUUCCUAUCGUUGCACAUGCAGACAAGCAAAAAUAGUCUCCCUUCCCAUUGGGAAACCUGGAUCCAAUCCAAUCUGCCAGGUCAACAAAAAAAAAAUCCUUGAGCGCACACCUCGAUCUGAUCCGCAGGUACAAAGGCGCCAACAUACAAGAAGCAACAGCAAGAUACUUGCAGAUUAGAGUCAAAAUACUGGUUAAUUUGAUGAGGUAUGCUUCUGUUUCUCCAAAUGAUAAGGUGCUUUGUGCUUCUGGCAUGUUCGUAAGAUCUGUCCUAUAUUUCUUUUUAAGAUUGCACAGCACAAGUCGGAUUAUUUAUUAGAGAGGACCUCCUGUCUUUCAUCCUUGAUAAUUCACAGCAAGCAGUAUUAUAGAUUAUGACUUGCCUUCAUCAUUUAUUCAUUUUGAUCUAAUCAAUUGAUUUUUGGAUCAUCAUUGGGUUGAGAGCUCCAUUGUGUUGCCUGUGUCUGGUCAUUUAGGCUUCAGUGCCACUGGGUAGAAUAAUAAUACUAACACAUUUAGCCUUUUGAUGUUUCUUUGCUGUAUGUAGUCCAUCUGAACGUAUAAACCAUGAGAUUGAUAAGUGUAGCUAUUUGAUGAUGAUGGAUGAUGCUGUAUCUGCUUAUACUAUGAAUACGUCAGCUCUGUUCAUGCCUCCAUCGGAUUCGCGGGAAUUAGACAAAUUUAGAAGUUUUUUUUUAAUUUUUUGCAAUCUGUUCAAUGUUUGUAGGAGAAUAUGCUUGGGGAAGAUAAAUUUCAUAUAACUACAGAAAAAUGUAUGUUGCAUUUUUUGGAUUCAGUCCAAUGCUUAUAAGAUCAAAGGAUAUGCAUGGGACAUAACUUCAGAUAGCUCAUUUUGUGGGCAAUUAGUUCAAUGCCUGUAAGAGCAUAUGCUUGGGGCAUAAUUUGAUAUAGCUACCGAAAAAUCCAUGCUACUGUUUUUGGAUUCAGUUCUGAA